rnacentral:rRNA from 1 species
ACCACGGCUAAUACCCCGGAUGCCAAAGUAUUUAGAAAGCUUUGGCUAAAGCUCCGGCGCCUCGGGAGGGGCCUGCGGGCUAUCAGCUUGUUGGUGGGGUAAUGGCCUACCAAGGCAAAGACGGCUAGGGGGCGUGAGAGCGCGACCCCCCACAAUGGAACUGGGACACGGUCCAUACUCCUACGGGAGGCAGCAGUGAGGAAUAUUGCGCAAUGGGGGCAACCCUGACGCAGCAACGCCGCGUGGAUGAUGAAGGCCUUCGGGUUGUAAAAUCCUUUUCCGGGGGAAGAAUCAUGACGGUACCUCGGGAAUAAGUCCCGGCUAACUACGUGCCAGCAGCCGCGGUAAAACGUAGGGGGCGAGCGUUAUCCGGAUUUACUGGGCGUAAAGCGCACGUAGGCGGCGCUGUAAGUUGGGCGUGAAAGCUCCCGGCUCAACUGGGAGAGGUCGUUCAAAACUGCAGUGCUUGAGGUUGGAAGAGGAGAGUGGAAUCCCCGGUGUAGUGGUGGAAUGCGUAGAUAUCGGGAGGAACACCAGUGGCGAAGGCGGCUCUCUGGUCCAACCCUGACGCUGAGGUGCGAAAGCGUGGGGAGCGAACGGGAUUAGAUACCCCGGUAGUCCACGCUGUAAACGAUGGAUACUAGGUGUGGGAGGUUACUUACCCCUUCCGUGCCGUAGCUAACGUGAUAAGUAUCCCGCCUGGGGACUACGGCCGCAAGGUUAAAACUCAAAGGAAUUGACGGGGGCCCGCACAAGCAUCGGAGCGUGUGGUUUAAUUCGAUGAUACGCGAAGAACCUUACCUGGGCUUGACAUGUUGGUAGUAGUGAAGCGAAAGCGGAUCGACCCUUCGGGGAGCCAUCACAGGUGCUGCAUGGCUGUCGUCAGCUCGUGUCGUGAGAUGUUGGGUUAAGUCCCGCAACGAGCGCAACCCUUGUCGUUAGUUACAUGUGUCUAGCGAGACUGCCGGUACCAAACCGGAGGAAGGUGGGGAUGACGUCAAGUCAGCAUGGUCUUUAUGUCCAGGGCUACACACACGCCACAAUGGCCGGUACAAUAGGUUGCCACACCGCGAGUGGAGCUAAUCCCAAAGCCGUCUCAGUUCGGAUUGUAGUCUGCA